AGUGAACGCUGGCGGUAGGCCUAACACAUGCAAGUCGAACGGCAGCACAGUAAGAGCUUGCUCUUACGGGUGGCGAGUGGCGGACGGGUGAGGAAUACAUCGGAAUCUACUUUUUCGUGGGGGAUAACGUAGGGAAACUUACGCUAAUACCGCAUACGACCUACGGGUGAAAUCAGGGGAUCUUCGGACCUUGCGCGAUUGAUUGAGCCGAUGUCGGAUUAGCUAGUUGGCGGGGUAAAGGCCCACCAAGGCGACGAUCCGUAGCUGGUCUGAGAGGAUGAUCAGCCACACUGGAACUGAGACACGGUCCAGACUCCUACGGGAGGCAGCAGUAGGGAAUAUUGGACAAUGGGCGAAAGCCUGAUCCAGCAAUACCGCGUGAGUGAAGAAGGCCUUCGGGUUGUAAAGCUCUUUUGUUGGGAAAGAAAAACAGCAGGUUAAACCCCCGCUGUUCUGACGGUACCCAAAGAAUAAGCUCCGGCUAACUUCGUG
rnacentral:rRNA from 1 species